rnacentral:miRNA from 1 species
CCGGUGACUGGAAGCAGCGUUGA